AGAAGAGCGCAUUUCGCGUUUUACGUUUAGAAGAUCGAAGACGAUUGUGAGCAACAGGUGAAAAUUUAAGAAGGGUAAACGAUUUUGGUGUUACCUUUAGUUUUGACGUUGCAGCAAGAGCAAUUUCUUAGAAGAAUUUAAGGAAAAGAUAUGGUGUUCACAGAAAAAUUGAAGUUAGUAACUUCUUGGAAAGCCUGUCUUCUGCUGCUGCUACUGUUGCUGGACAGCACCAGCGCAGCACCAUUAAGCGAACUUGAAGAGGCCUCUCUGUCUGAAUCUGGUGAUUCUUCCUUCUCAGACGACGAACCACUUCGUCUUCAGCCCCUGCGCAUGCGCCUCUACGACGGCCCCAGCCAGGACUACAUGGGCAAAAGGGCCUUGAGCCUCUUCGCCCACUGGAAGCCCCGGUACAGGGGUGGUGCUAUCAAUACCAGGUCGGACCAGGUCGUCAGUUCCAUCGCCACUAGGGCCGGCCAUGCUAGGCCCUUGGGACAACCUUUGAGGUGGGGCAAGUAAAUGCCCGGAGGAAUAGUUCUCUUUCUCUCAUUGCCAAAGAUCAUGCAUCAUUCCUUUUGUCCUCUUGUUUUAUGUUGCUUUAGUAUUGUACCUGUUGUAAAUAAAGAGUUCUUUUGUGUUU